CUCUGCCACACCACCCGCCUGC
rnacentral:miRNA from 1 species